GAGCUGCCCAAGGUUCCACAGCGAGUAGGGCAAAGUUGGUAGAUGUGGUGGACACGGUGUUGACCUGAGAGCUCUCCCUAAUAAAACUCUGCAGGCUAACCUCCCUCUCCAAGAGUACUGCUGAGAACCUGACCUGUGAUGGUAGGAGGGUGAGACAUCUGUCGGCUGAUAGGCAGAUCUUCUGUCUCCUGGUUCCUGCCGUUUCCAUGUUGAGGUACAGAAUCAAUGUCCUUGGCCACACCCCAGGGGGAAGGAGACCCCUGACUCUGAGAGAGUAGUCACCAGCCUCUGCUACCGGGCCAGGAUUUCUGCAGCCACUUCACUAUCUUCCCCACCUCUAACAUCCUCCUCCUCGAAUAAGGCCCUUCACAGUAUCCUUGGUGGCAUUCUAAAUCACUAAUCCAGCCUCAGGUCUUUCCUGUGUAAAAUGACUCCUCUUUCCCUAGAGGAGACACUCAAGCCCAAGCUCAUUAACUCCGUUUGGGGCUCCUGCUCGUUCGCCCAGCUGCACCUCUUCCUUCUCUCUUUCCACAACAUUCUGAACUUUGUUAUUUCACACGACAUGUUCUUUCAUCUUGCCUUUUUGCAGGAGUCCUUCUCUCCGUUUGGAACACCUCCCGCUCCUCCUCUGAAACUUUAUCCCACAGCUUCAUUGGUGAAGCCUUUCUACCUCUCUAAGCCCAGUUUCCCCACUCACAAAAUAAGGACCACUUGAUCCACCAGAUAUCCAUCAGGCAUCAUUAUUCAAAGAUGGUCACACAGUAAAGCCCUUACUCCUUAAGUGAGGCCCAAAACGUUCAGUCGUGUAGAAUGUGUGUUGCAUUAUCAUGAGGCUCGUGAAGUGACCAGGGUGAGCCAGCUGCCAAGGAUGAGAGCCAAUCGCCGAUUGCUGUCUGUCUUAAUUUGCAUUAUUAUGGGAUACGCCAUCACAAGACCCAUUAUUGUGGCCAUGUUCAGAAUUAUUUGUUCAGUAUCUCUCUCCCCCACUAGAAUGUGGGAACAUGGCCCUCAAUAAAUAUGUGCUGAAUAAAUGAAAAAACAAAUUCAUAUGAGAGUACAACGUGAGGACCUGCCCUGGUUUGGAGGGUCAGGGGAUGUAUGCUCAAGGGAGUGAUGUUUAGUCUGAAGAGUGAAGGAUGACUAGAGGUCGGUAAGUGAAGUGCGGGAAGGAAAUCAAAUAUAAGAAAACAGGAAAGAAUGAUGUCUGCAAGGGCUUCAAACUGGAAGAGAGUGCGGUGUGUUCAAGUGUCCAAAAGGAACCCGGUGUCACAGGCCGUGGAAAUGGGAGUGGGCUGGAACACUGCCACCAUGAAGCUGAGCCGUCAGGGAGAGCUCGUUAGCUAUUUCUGGGACCUGGGACUUCAUUGUAAUAGUGAUGGGCAGACAUUUAGGGGUUUUCAGCACAGGUGCUUUGUGAACAGAUGUCUGUUAUAAAGAACACUCUAGCUGCUGUGUGGAGAGUGUAUUGGAGAGUGAUAGAGUGACAGUGGGGAAACUGAGGCACAGAGAAAUUAGGUGAUGUCCAAGGACCCAAAACUUACCUACAACAGAGCCCACCCUCCGUGACAUCAACCCCAGAGCUGUUUCCCCUAAUGAUGCCACCUCUGAGAACUCUAAAGUCCAGGUUCUAAGCUGCAAGGAGGGGAGAAAGCAAGCGGAAAGGGUGAUUUCUAAAAGCAGAGAGCAGCCCUUUUCUAGCUGUGAAGAUUCUUUCAAGCGGCAGUGCCAGGGCUUAAUGUACACUCCACGGGCGCUCUGGGAACACCCCCUGAAGUGAAAGGAGUCCCUUCUCCCCGGCAGCCCCUCUCUCUUACUCGCCAGACCAGGACUUGCAAACCUGAGAUCCUGGGAGAUGCAGCCCUAACCAUACUCCUUAAAUAUUGUCUCAAAUUACCAUGUUUGUUAUUAUAUAAAACAUUUAAU
ensembl:lncRNA